rnacentral:rRNA from 1 species
GACGAACGCUGGCGGCGUGCCUAAUACAUGCAAGUCGAACGCAGUGGGGACGGGUGAGUAACACGUGGGUAACCUCCCAUCAGAGGGGAUAACACUUGGAAACAGGUGCUAAACCGAUACUGAUGGAUGGACCCGCGGUGCAUUAGCUAGGUGGUGAGGUAACGGCUCACCAAGGCCACGGUGCAUAGGCGGCCGUGGGGGGUGAACGGCCCCAAUUGGACUGGGGCAAGGCCCAGACUCCUACGGGGAGGAGGCAGUGGGAAACUUUCGCAAAGGGCGGAAAUCUUGCCCGGCAAAGGCGGGGGGGUGGAAGAGGGUUUUGGGUCGUAAAGCUCUGUUUUUAAAGAAGCGGUAUCUAACCAGAAAGCGACGGCUAACUACGUGCCAGCAGCCGCGGUAAUUC